GAUGAACGCUGGCGGCGUGCCUAAUACAUGCAAGUCGAGCGAACGGACGAGAAGCUUGCUUCUCUGAUGUUAGCGGCGGAAGGGUGAGUAACACGUGGAUAACCUACCUAUAAGACUGGGAUAACUUCGGGAAACCGUAGCUAAUACCGGAUAAUAUUUUGAACCGCAUGGUUCAAAAGUGAAAGACGGUCUUGCUGUCACUUAUAGAUGGAUCCGCGCUGCAUUAGCUAGUUGGUAAGGUAACGGCUUACCAAGGCAACGAUGCAUAGCCGACCUGAGAGGGUGAUCGGCCACACUGGAACUGAGACACGGUCCAGACUCCUACGGGAGGCAGCAGUAGGGAAUCUUCCGCAAUGGGCGUAAGCCUGACGGAGCAACGCCGCGUGAGUGAUGAAGGUCUUCGGAUCGUAAAACUCUGUUAUUAGGGAAGAACAUGUGUGUAAGUAACUGUGCACAUCUUGACGGUACCUAAUCAGAAAGCCACGGCUAACUACGUG
rnacentral:rRNA from 1 species